AUAUUCUUUCUUUGCUAUAUUAUCUGCAAGACUGUAUACAUGUACAUACAGACAACAUAUAUUCUGUUUAAUACGUCCGGUCUAAACGCUGCAUUUUACAUGUGCCAAGUCUAGAAAAGUUUGUUCAACCUUUUAAGUGCUACCAAAUUAUUUUACUCAGCUUAACAUGCCAGAUGAUUGAGUGUACUGGUCAAUGCGAGAGUGCUACUGCUCCAGGCCUUAAAAUAUCGGUCGGUCACGGACAUUGUCCGACCCAUUCGUGAAAUUUUCCGACGUAGAGAGGAAACCACCGGACAUUCUGUCCGACCUAAGUGAAACUGAGGUUUCUUGUUUGUCCGACCC